AUGACGGAGCAGCAGGCCAUUCUGGAGUCCAUCCAGGAUGAGGCCUAUGUGGAGGCCAACCGGCAGCUCCUCCGGCAGGAGCAAGCGGCGUCUGACACGCUCUUCGUCAAGCUCGACGCAGAGAUAGAGGAGGAGGAGGAGGCCGGACCGGUGCACCUGGAGGCGCCAGAGCUGCUGCUGCCGCCCAUGUAUCCGGAGCCGGGCACGAAGAUUAUCGACAUCUCCGACAAGGACUACCAGAUGGCUCGCUUCGCCGUGGUCGCCGCCAUCAUCGCCCUCCUCGCCGUCGCCACCGCCGCGCAGGGCCCCAUGCCGGCGCCCAGGAUGGCCCCGCUACCGGCGCCUCCGGCGAGGUCCCCGGCCACCGCCCCUGCGCCGCUCGCCACCCCGCCCACCGCCGCGUCGCCGUCCCCGAUGGCCUCUCCCCCGGCCCCUUCCACCGACGCUCCCUCUGCGAUGACACCCUCCGCGGUCUCCGCCACACCCACCGGCGCCCCCACCGGCACUCCCGCAAGCUCUGCAGUGUACUCGUCCGCCGCCAGCUUCGUUGCAGUCGCCGGAGCGGUCGCCGUAGCCGUCAUGUUCUAG
rnacentral:rRNA from 1 species